CUUGUCUCUUGCAUUUCUCGUCAGUUGCAUUUUUAGUUCUGAAAAGUGAAGUUCGUGCCACGUGUUUUGAAAAAGUUUGUUGCUUUCUGCGACCAAUUUUACAUCAAUAUUUUCACAGAAUCGCAAAAAAUGAAUGGGCACACCAAGGACUGAACUGCGUAAAUGACAAAAGUACAUAAACAAGAAGGAAGCACCAAAGCACCGUACAGAAGGGGAGUUACUCCGAUUAAAAAUUAGUUGCGUUUUUGAAUAUUGAAAUGAAAAUAAAUAUGAAAUUGAAAUCCA